AGAUGGGGAAACAACUGCAGAGAGUAAGCACCUUGCUGGAUCAGUCAGAUUCUGGGUUGCAAACUCCAGAAGAUUGCUCUGGCUGGUAAAGCAGAAACAGGAUACUAAAAGGAUUUGGGGAAGCUCACAGAGAACCAGGGCCAAGCUUCCAGAGGUAUGCCUACAGUUGCACUGCAGAACUGGUCUGAUGAGCAGACCACGGCCACUCUUCCAGAGGACUAGAUGCCAGGACACGCACCACUGCCAUUUUUGUGCAGAUGGUAACACUGGUGCUCAGAAAGGCUAUAUAACGUGCCCACAUGACACAAUUAAGAAGCAGCAGAUCCCAGACUACAACCAGAGGUCUGUGUGACCAGCUCCAAGCUGGCGACCAUUGGGGGACAGAGGGAUUCAGUGGCUUGACAAAAGUCUGCAGCUGAUGGCAAAGGUAGGCUUAGAACCGCGGCCUCUGACUCCAGUGUCUGUGUGCUUAGCUGCUAAGGCAAGCUGGCUUGACAGCAGCUGUGCUCACGUCACACCAGGUGUAGGCUGACCUGACCCUCUUUGCCUUCAUUGUUCUGAAUGCCUUUUAUUCAGUCUUGAGGUUUUAAAACUUGUCCUUUCUAGUCCCAUGGUUUUGAGGGAUGCUGUCCACCUCAGGUGAUUCCAGGAGGUAGGGUUGUGUCACUAAAACCAGAUCACCCAGAGACCCUCUGAGGACCAGGGCAUCGGCCAGCUGAGCGUGCAGGUCACUUCCCCGUCUGACUUUCCACGAGGAGGGCUCAUUCCUAGAGUGUGUGACUCCUUCUUGAGAGAAGCUCUUGAUUUUAACUCUCCUCUGUGAGGCUGAUGGCUUCUAUGACUUCAGGGCAGUCACCCUGACUGCUGGGAUGAGUUCCUUCCCUAAAGGACAAGGACCAGCUGCUUUUUUAAAAGCAAAGAAUUGCUGCAUUAAAGCAAACUGUUAACAUGUACACACAAAUGGUGAAGCUUAAAUAUUGAAGUCAUAGCAAACAAAUGGCAAUUCAAUAUCCAGGGUUGGUGGACAGAAUGCUUGAGACGGGGUAGCACCAGAUCAGACUCCCAUGGCGGACAGGGCGUCUUCAGAGGUGAGGGGCCCUGGGACGGGCUGCUGGUGGUGAUUAACUCCCUAAUGAGGAAAACGGACUUUUGAAGGAGGAGCAUGCGCAGACCCUUGGUGGGGGAUGAUGUGAGUGACAUUAUGAGGACACGCCUCCCAACUGGACGGGUCUGGCAGCACUGAGGGUAAAGAGCAGAGGAUACUCCGAGAUAGGUCAUGAGAGGCUGAGGGAAAGAGACAGAAUUAGAGGAACUGGUUCUUUACAUCUUUCUCUCCCGCCUCCCACCACUGGUCCAGCUUUCGCCACGGUUACGCAGCCUUA